UAUGGCUCAGGAUGAACGCUAGCGACAGGCUUAACACAUGCAAGUCGAGGGGCAGCAUAAAAGUAGCAAUACUUGGUGGCGGCCGGCGCACGGGUGAGUAACGCGUAUGCAACCUACCUAUCAGAGGGGAAUAACCCGGCGAAAGUCGGACUAAUACCGCAUAAAACAGGGGCACCGCAUGGUGAUAUUUGUUAAAGAAAUUCGCUGAUAGAUGGGCAUGCGUUCCAUUAGGUAGUUGGUGAGGUAACGGCUCACCAAGCCGACGAUGGAUAGGGGAACUGAGAGGUUGGUCCCCCACACUGGUACUGAGACACGGACCAGACUCCUACGGGAGGCAGCAGUGAGGAAUAUUGGUCAAUGGGCGAGAGCCUGAACCAGCCAAGUCGCGUGAAGGAAGAAGGAUCUAUGGUUCGUAAACUUCUUUUGCAGGGGAAUAAAGUGCAGGACGUGUCCUGUUUUGUAUGUACCCUGAGAAUAAGGAUCGGCUAACUCCGUGCCAGCCGCCGC
rnacentral:rRNA from 1 species